AUGAAAAAAAGUUUCUUUCAUUUCUUGAUUUAUUUGAAUGAGUGCGAAAAGAAAAUCCCAAAAAGGGUAAUAAAAAACGAUUGAAAGACGCAUGCCAUUCGUAAUCGUACCAUCGUAAAGUAGGCUCGUACAACAAGAAGCAUUGGAAAUCGGAACUGAAUUGUAAAUAGCAGCAGCAGCAAUAUCAUUAGAAGCAACAAAUAUAAAUUGCUAAAUACACUGUGGCACUUUGCAUUGGGAUGGAAAACUCCUUCCGGAAAUAACAGGUUGAGAAAAGGUGGAACGACUUCCAGUUGUUGUUACUGACAGGAAUAGCGAACACUUAAUAGGGGCUCCAAAACUAUGUGCUGCAAC